rnacentral:rRNA from 1 species
GUGGGGAAUCUUCCGCAAUGGACGAAAGUCUGACGGAGCAACGCCGCGUGAGUGAAGAAGGUUUUCGGAUCGUAAAGCUCUUUCGUUAGGGACGAACGUGCUCUUUGUGAAUAAUGAGGAGUAAUGACGGUACCUAAAUAAGAAGCCACGGCUAACUACGUGCCAGCAGCCGUGGUAAUACGUAGGUGGCAAGCGUUGUCCGGAAUUAUUGGGCGUAAAGCGCGCGCAGGCGGGAUAUCAAGUCUGUCUUAAAAGUGCGAGGCUCAACCUCGUGAGGAGACAGAAACUGGUAUUCUUGAGUGUCGGAGAGGAAAGUGGAAUUCCAAGUGUAGCGGUGAAAUGCGUAGAGAUUUGGAAGAACACCAGUGGCGAAGGCGACUUUCUGGACGAUGUCUGACGCUGAGGCGCGAAAGCUAGGGGAGCGAACGGGAUUAGAUACCCUAGUAGUCC